rfam:Triticum aestivum genome assembly, contig: Triticum_aestivum_CS42_TGACv1_scaffold_513182_6BS
UUAGUACUCCCUCCGUCCGGAAUUACUUGUCAUCAAAAUGGAUGAAAAUGGAUGUAUCUAGAACUAAAAUAACAUCUAGAUACAUCCAUUUCAAUGACAAGUAUUUCCGGAUGGAGGGAGUAAGAG